GGACAUAAGGGUCAUCUGGCUGCGACAUCUCUCACUCCACUGAUGGCCAGGAUUGACUUGGUUGCUCUGGCUGGCUAGGCAGGUGGCCCCUUCCUCCCUCAGUACUCCAUGUGUGUCUUUCCUGAAGCUGCAUGCUUGGUCAAAGAGGACAAACACCCCAGAUAGAGGAGAAUCAUUCCUUGAUCAAAGGUGUACGAGUAGCUGCACUCUCCUGCUAGAAGCUCCAAACAAGCUCUCAAAUUAUGUAUUUAAUGUUUUCAGAUAUUAUUUUUCUUAUUUCCUAUUAUUUGAAAUAGACUCAACCUAGAAUUCCAUU
rnacentral:snRNA from 1 species